rnacentral:misc_RNA from 1 species
UCAGAAGUGUAAUGGGGCACAAAU